AUGAAGGUCUUGGGCACACUGUAGGAGUGCGAGGUGGUAGGGUACUGCCUGGCCACCCCCAAGUGCCACACACCCCCGCUGUGCAUCUUCACCCCCAACUGUGUGGUCACCAAGUCCCAUCUCUGGGACUUUGUAUCCCAGCUGAAGAUGAAGAAGUCCUCAGGGGAGAUCGUCUACUGUGGGCACGUGUUCAAGAAGUCCCCCCUGCGAGUAAAGAAUUUUGGCAUCUGGCUGCUCUAUGACUCACGCAGCGACACCCACAACAGGUACCGCGAGUAUAACCACCACAGGCGCCGUCACCCAGCGCUACCGAGACGUGGUCACCUGACAUCGUGCCCAUGCCCACUCCAUCCAGGUCAUGAAGGUAGAGGAGACUGCAGCCAGCAAAUGCUGCCGGCCGGCGGUCAAGCAGUUCCACAACUCCAAGACCAAGUUUCCGCUGCCCCACUGUGUCCUGCGUCGCCAGCACAAGCCACAUUUCACCACCAAGAGGCCCAACACCUCCUUCCAGGUCCCACUCCACAUACCACGUGCGGCCCCGGGAGAUACCCGGAUGAUGCCACUUCCAAUGCACAUGCAAUGCAGGACAGCACCAGACACUGAGAACCAGCCACAUCACCAGCGCAAACCAGGGGUGCCCAGCGUCACCUCUGACUCCGUCAAGGCCUGGGAGAAGCUUCUGGGGGUACCCGACCGCCUCACAGGAAGUCGGACAUAG